UUAUUUAAAUUAAGAAUUAAGAGGAGAAUCAAUGGAGAAAACUAAUCAAAGGGUUGGAUAUAUACCUCAACUAGCUGGGCUGUAGGAAGAUAAACACUAAAGUAGCAUGCAAAUGAGAGAGGGUCACUACUACAAAAAAGAUCUUUGGUGGCAAUUAUUUAGUGGCAAUAAAUCAAUUGCCAUUAAUAUAGUUUUUAAGCUAAAGUUUUACCAACAAAAGCUCAUUAGACGGGAAAAUGUACAGCUUUACCGGCAACUGGAGAGAAAUCGCCACAAAAAAGGUCAAAUUUUAAUUUUUUAUCUUCCCUCCAAAAGCAAAACCUAUGUUUUAUCAUUUCCCUCUCUUCUCAAAUUACACUCACCUCCAUCAAAACUCCCCAACUCCUCUCUCAAUCUCUGAAUUUCACUUCUCCUUUUUUUUUAGUACCCCAUAAAAAAAAAAUCCAUGCGAAGACCUAUCAACAAGAGAAAUCAGACUGAGUUUAGCCUUGAGUUCAAAGAUGGAGUAAAACAUUGCAUCAAGUUCAUUGAAAAGGUGUAUCACAUGAGAGUUUCAAUUUGAGGUGAAUGUGAAGGAUUAUGACUUUUCAAACACCUGUGCUCCAAGAACAGAUAGAUUUGUAAGCUCUGUCUCUCUUAAUCUGUUCAAAUGCUUCUAUUUCCAGACUUUAAUGUUACUUUAUUAGCACCUAAUUCAUCAGAACAAUGAGUGAUUCAUAUUUAGCCUAUUGCCUAUCUUUAAGGCUUUGACUAUUGAAAUCUUAUUUCCUUUCUCUUGUUAAUAUCAUGAUGAUACACUAUAUUUAGAUACUAGCAGCAAUGUUAUAGUGUAAAGUAGUUGAAGAGUUACCAGUAAUUAGAUUAAUGUGCUAUUCUGAAAGGUACUUAAUAGGUAAAUCACCAAAUAGACGGAAAAUUUCUGACGACCUGGUAGUUUAAUGUGCUUUUCUGAAAGGUACUUAAUAGGUGCAAGGUACUUACACUCAUUUCUCUUGUACAUUGUAUAUAUUGGAGUACUGUCUUGGUGGACACAGCAAUUCCAAAAGAGCAAAAUUGAUCGUAGUUUCUGAUGUUAACCAUGUUGCUCAAUAUUAUCCAUUUCAUGUGUUGAAGCACAAGAAUUUAGAUGCGUUUUGGAUAUAUAAGUUCCACCUGGUUCUGCUGUCAUGGCUUAAGGCUUUCAUUCACGCUUCACAGGUUUUAUCUCUUUUUCAUUGACCUUCUGCAGUGCCAUAUUCACUUUUUGAGUCGUGGUUUGAUGAAUCUAAAAUAGAAUAUAUGUCGUCCUUGGUUUCAUAUCAACAUUACUGCUUUGUACUAUAAUCUGUAUUCAGGCAUUUGUUAUGUGUGAUGUCUUUGUUACUAGGUGUAUCACAUGGAACUACAUUACCAAUUAGCUGUCCAGAAUCGACUGUAGCUAGCUUCUUUAUACCACUGGAUUGAUUCUCCACCUCAUUGUCUUGUCCAGGAUCACCAACACCACCUGUAGUUGUAGCACUUAUGUUUCAACAAUAAUAUUGAUCACAGCUAAUGCCAUAUCAUUUAUACGAGCAGUCCCUGCAUCUGUAGCUUUCGCCAACAAAUCUCUUCCUUUCUCGUUCACCAGUUGGUUUCGAACACAGGACACCAGUUCUUUAGUUAUGUAGAUCUUUGGUAGAUCCAUUUUAGAAUCUCUUUUUUUAUUCAAUGUUCUUCCAAUUAUUGAGCUGUUUUUUCACAAUAUGUUUAGAUGUGAGACUUGCGAUGUUUUUGCACAUUAUAUUUCAUCUUUUGACACAUUUAUUUUAUUAUUUCAGGUCAUACAAUCUGAUCUUUGAUAA